CAAGUUCACAAUAUAUAGAUUUAAUACAGCAUGGUCAGUGUGUCCUGGCCGGUAUUUUUCUGUCUGGCCUGGCCUAACUCAGUCAUGCAGUAGUGAGUAACUAUUUUAGUAUAACAACACUUUUGCUUAGUUUCAUUUGGUUAUGUGAUGUGAAAGUAUUGUUGGUGAAAGGUUUGAAUUACCUGCAGAUAACAAAUUACGUGUACUGCUGUGUGGGGGUUUGACGGAUUUUUGUAGUAACACCAACAUAGCAAGUACAUGCACAUUAAAGGUUGCUUAUCUGAUUUAUUAUCAGGUAUGUUCAGAGUUUUAGCGAGUUGGUUGAGUUUCAAAAUGAAGAAGAAACAGAUGAAGUUACAAACAGAUUCACGCAAAGUUUGAUGUACAUCAAACAGCGCCAUGACAACGUUGUAGAGACCAUGGCCCAGGGCAUCAUGGAACUUCGAGAGAAGGAGGGUGAUGAUGCCUUCCAUCCAUCAAUAGAGUAUUUUCUAGGUAAUGUAAUUAAUAUGAUACUCUUUGUACCAGAAUCAUAGAAUAUCUUUCCAUAUCAGGGCUGUGCUCUAGAAGCACCCAGGUGCCACAGGUGCCUAACUUUUGACUUUGGGUGACUGAAAAAACUCACUUUUUUCAUAUAAGUUUAAGUGCUGGAUAUAUAUUUUUUCAUGGUUAGGAACCUCUGGGCUUUUCACAAUUUUUCCACAGCCUUGUAUAUAGAAUAGAUUUCUUACUCCAGACAAAAACAUUAAGUUUUUUUAGAAGUGGAAAAAUGUUAAGAUUGAGUUCUAUGACUAGAAAAUUACAUGUAAUUUCAAGUUAUUUGUUAAAAUGGUUUUUACACCUGGAUAUGGUAACUGUCGUCGCAUGGCUGCAUUACCAUUUCUUUGUUUGUUUGGUCACACAGCUGCGCGACUGGUUACCAUGUGACCUGGCAACAGUUGAAAAUGUCUCAUACAUACAACGUAAUAAAAGUUGCAAGCGAUGUUUCCAUUUCAGCUCAUUGUUUAUCAAACUCAGGCUAAAUUAAGGUCAGAAAUCACUCUAAGUAUUUUGUCAAUUAUGUAUUCCACUAGUUUUCUCAAAGAUUAUUCUCGAUGCUGAUUUAUUAUCUGAUGUUUCGU